GUUUUAUCUUCUUCUUAUCGUAACAUGCAAGUCCUAAAAGGAGUCUCCAAGUUAAAUUUGAAGAAAGGAAAAGUGUGGGUGAGGAAAACUCCUCAUGCCUCAAGGAGUCCCGUGGGAACAUGAUCUUUGUCUUGCCCUCACAUGUGAGUUAGGACACUCACAUGCACAACAUGCUUUAGCCACAAGUACCUCAUGUUUUCUUUAUGGGCUGUCUUCCUUCGAUAUAUGUGCUCACAUCACUUCCUCUUGGAGUCUCAUUAUUGAUUUCUAUUUGCAUUCUUCCUCUUACCGUGUGAUUCUUCAAGUCACAUUAGAGAACCAAAGCUUUCCAAAUAGAGGAAGACUCGGCUU
rnacentral:lncRNA from 1 species